rnacentral:other from 1 species
GUUCCCACUGCUGGACCAAGGGUACAAGGUUAUUAAUCAGUGGAACGUGGAAUUCCUGGAGAAUUGCCUUUGUGAAAAGCUGGAAAUAGUUUGUUUAAAAUCUCUCUUACAGUUUUCCAUGUAAGUAUUCAAUUUACACUUUUGUCGCAGGUUGAUCUUUUUAAAAAUCA